ensembl:lncRNA
CUGAACUGGGUGGUUUCCAAAGUCCUCACGGCCCCGGUCCCAAGGACCAUGCAGGCGGCUGUGUGUUCGGAUCCUGCACCGCCAGAUCCGCUGUGGGCCACUCAUGGGAACUGAGCCGAGCCCACGCACUUCCUCUCUCCCUGGGGCUCCAGUCCUCGUCCAGCUGGCUCAUGGAAAGCCCUUCGUGGGGUUGGCACCUGAGCCGGUUAAUCUUCACUGUCACCUGGACUUGGUGAAGAGCAAGAGGAACUAUGGAUCAGGAGCCACAGUGGGUCGAUCUACUUAAGCCCCCGUCUGAGUGUGCUGUUAGGGUGGGGACCCUGUUGGAGGCGGGUCCUGGGCCAAGCCUUGGGGGGUGCGUGUCUCACUGAGCACUGUCCCCCUCUGCUUCCCACCACCAUGAAAUGAGCAGCUUUGGUCCACCAUGG